GGCAGUGUUGUCUAACGGUUAGAACACUGGACUGGGACUCAGGAGAUCUGGAAUCUGUUCCCAGCUCUGCCA
rnacentral:tRNA from 1 species